UUCCUGGAGGACUCAUGGUUAGGCCUCGGCGCUCUCACCCUCGUGGCCCAGGUUCGAGUCCCGGGCCAGGGAA